GACGAACGCUGGCGGCGUGCCUAAUACAUGCAAGUUGAGCGAUGAAGAUUGGUGCUUGCACCAAUUUGAAGAGCAGCGAACGGGUGAGUAACGCGUGGGGAAUCUGCCUUUGAGCGGGGGACAACAUUUGGAAACGAAUGCUAAUACCGCAUAACAACUUUAAACAUAAGUUUUAAGUUUGAGAGAUGCAAUUGCAUCACUCAAAGAUGAUCCCGCGUUGUAUUAGCUAGUUGGUGAGGUAAAGGCUCACCAAGGCGAUGAUACAUAGCCGACCUGAGAGGGUGAUCGGCCACAUUGGGACUGAGACACGGCCCAAACUCCUACGGGAGGCAGCAGUAGGGAAUCUUCGGCAAUGGACGAAAGUCUGACCGAGCAACGCCGCGUGAGUGAAGAAGGUUUUCGGAUCGUAAAACUCUGUUGGUAGAGAAGAACGUUGGUGAGAGUGGAAAGCUCAUCAAGUGACGGUAACUACCCAGAAAGGGACGGCUAACUACGUG
rnacentral:rRNA from 1 species